GCGCCUCCAGGAAAGAUUAUUACCUAGAGGCUGGGCUGAACUGAAAGAAAAAGAGUGGUAAAGGGGUGAGUAACACGUGGGUAACCUGCCCAUCAGAAGGGGAUAACACUUGGAAACAGGUGCUAAUACCGUAUAACACUAUUUUCCGCAUGGAAGAAAGUUGAAAGGCGCUUUUGCGUCACUGAUGGAUGGACCCGCGGUGCAUUAGCUAGUUGGUGAGGUAACGGCUCACCAAGGCAACGAUGCAUAGCCGACCUGAGAGGGUGAUCGGCCACACUGGGACUGAGACACGGCCCAGACUCCUACGGGAGGCAGCAGUAGGGAAUCUUCGGCAAUGGACGAAAGUCUGACCGAGCAACGCCGCGUGAGUGAAGAAGGUUUUCGGAUCGUAAAACUCUGUUGUUAGAGAAGAACAAGGAUGAGAGUAAAAUGUUCAUCCCUUGACGGUAUCUAACCAGAAAGCCACGGCUAACUACGUGCCAGCAGCCGCGGUAAUACGUAGGUGGCAAGCGUUGUCCGGAUUUAUUGGGCGUAAAGCGAGCGCAGGCGGUUUCUUAAGUCUGAUGUGAAAGCCCCCGGCUCAACCGGGGAGGGUCAUUGGAAACUGGGAGACUUGAGUGCAGAAGAGGAGAGUGGAAUUCCAUGUGUAGCGGUGAAAUGCGUAGAUAUAUGGAGGAACACCAGUGGCGAAGGCGGCUCUCUGGUCUGUAACUGACGCUGAGGCUCGAAAGCGUGGGGAGCGAACAGGAUUAGAUACCCUGGUAGUCCACGCCGUAAACGAUGAGUGCUAAGUGUUGGAGGGUUUCCGCCCUUCAGUGCUGCAGCAAACGCAUUAAGCACUCCGCCUGGGGAGUACGACCGCAAGUUGAAACUCAAAGGAAUUGACGGGGGCCCGCACAAGCGGUGGAGCAUGUGGUUUAAUUCGAAGCAACGCGAAGAACCUUACCAGGUCUUGACAUCCUUUGACCACUCUAGAGAUAGAGCUUCCC
rnacentral:rRNA from 1 species